rnacentral:lncRNA from 1 species
CCGACUUCUUCUCCAAGGCUUUGGCAAUAACCUUUGCUGCCUCCACACCCACUGUGUUGCCUUCCAGACGCAAUGCUUCCAGGCCAUCAAAUUCCUCAAUUUGUUUGAUGACUUCUUCAGCAUCUUCAGCUGUGUUGAGUUUAAGGCUUUGGCCUUUGAAGCUCAACUGCCCGCCACCAACUUUGGUUUUGGCAAGUGACUCUGCAAGCUUAGCGAUGUCUUCCGAUGCCAUUUUUC